UACGGAGGGUGCGAGCGUUGUCCGGAAUCACUGGGCGUAAAGGGCGCGUAGGUGGCGUCGCAAGUCAACGGUGAAAGCUCGGCGCUCAACGCCGAGUCGGCCGUCGAAACUGCGAGGCUGGAGCACUGUAGAGGCAGAUGGAAUUCCGGGUGUAGCGGUGGAAUGCGUAGAGAUCCGGAAGAACACCGGUGGCGAAGGCGGUCUGCUGGGCAGGUGGCUGACA
rnacentral:rRNA from 1 species